rnacentral:rRNA from 1 species
AGUGAACGUUGGCGGCGUGCCUAACACAUGCAAGUCGAACGCAUCUUGGGGGCAACUCCAAGGUGAGUGGCGAACGGGUGAGUAACACGUGGGUAAUCUCCCCCCGAGUGAGGAAUAAGCCCCCGAAAGGGGGUCUAAUACCGCAUGACGCCAUGGGGCAUAUGCUUCCAUGGCCAAAGCCGUAAGGCGCUUGGGGAUGAGCCUGCGUCCUAUUAGCUAGUUGGUAGGGUAACGGCCUACCAAGGUGAUGAUGGGUAGCCGGCCUGAGAGGGUGAUCGGCCACACUGGGACUGAGACACGGCCCAGACUCCUACGGGAGGCAGCAGUGAGGAAUUUUGCGCAAUGGGGGAAACCCUGACGCAGCGACGCCGCGUGGAGGACGACGGCCUUCGGGUUGUAAACUCCUGUCAGAGGUGAAGAAUCCCCGCAAGGGGU